AUUUACUAUGGAAACAGAGUUGAUAUGAGGAAAGGGCACUGGUCAUUGUUGUGGAUAUCUUCCCAAAUAAAAUUUCUUACAUUUCUCAGUAUAAUUCUGAAAAAUGUGCACUGUAUAACAUCAAUCGUUCCAAUGACAAUCUAAAGUCUAACUGAACAUCCAUGCUACCCAAUGUAUUCCUGUAUGCCACCUACACAACAGACUGGAACAUGCAAGUGAGAAAUGUGUCGAGGAUAAAAGGCAACGGCAAAUCUAAUGAUCAAACAUGGUUUGGAGCAAUCGCUGUGGUAGUUGCCUACAACCUUUAAAGCUCUGUUUUUGUCAUUAUGGCUUGGUGAUUGCAAGGUUCAACUUGUCCGUAACACCUGAACUUUCCCCAAGUCCUUCUGCCCAUCAUCAACAGCGAGCUUCGUUUGGAUGUUCCAGCACCACGUUGGACUAUGUAACUUCAAAUCAUCGGGCUGAUGGAAACAAUUAUAAGACCUGCAGGAAAUUAUGAAUGCAUUAGCAUCAAGGUGAGUGUUAAGAGGACAAAAGAACCAACAGAAGCACAGUAAAUCACAUUGCACAGAACUGCUUUCCGAUGGGGCGAUGGUUAUGAUUGAUAAAGGAAAUCAUCCAUAUAAACAAGCAAUAUUCAGCCAUAUAUUUAGUCUUUUUCAGUAAAUUUAGACUCAACAUAACAAAAAUUUCACAAUUGUGUCAAGUACAAAGCCAACUGUACCAAGCACAAAUGCGCACAACAUUGGGCAGAAUUGCUACGGCUGCACAUACGGGAUGCAUCUUCUCUGCAUCAGGCCCC
rnacentral:lncRNA from 1 species